rnacentral:rRNA from 1 species
UACGUAGGGUGCAAGCGUUGUCCGGAAUUAUUGGGCGUAAAGAGCUCGUAGGCGGUCUGUCGCGUCGGAUGUGAAAAUCCAGGGCUCAACCCUGGACCUGCAUUCGAUACGGGCAGACUAGAGUUCGGCAGGGGAGACUGGAAUUCCUGGUGUAGCGGUGAAAUGCGCAGAUAUCAGGAGGAACACCGGUGGCGAAGGCGGUUCUCUGGGCCUUACCUGACGCUGAGGAGCGAAAGCGUGGGGAGCGAACAGG